AAGUGACGCCGCCACCAACCGGCACUUUAAAAGUCAGCUUCCAACAUUUGAACUCUUCAGACUUUUAACGUCACACAAGGAGACGUUAUUAUUUAUUCACUGUCCAGCAUCACUCCUGUCCUCUUCACAGCUGGCUUCCUGUUUAUCUCAGCUACCAGCUGUUGGAGACUAUUGGUUGGUCCAGAGGAGCAGUGGGAGGCUGCAGAGGGAGGGUCGGCUGUCAAUGAGGACAAAUGACUACAGAUUCAGCAGAUUAGUGAAGUGAGUGGAGGAAAGAGAGGACACAUCAUGAGGACGUGUUGAACCUUUGUUUGCUAAUGGCUUUGACGUUUUUACCCCAACUGUUUGCAAACGAUCCAAAGCUCUCACGUCACGUCAGAGGACGUCAGGUUGUUGAACUUCCUCCUCCUCAGAGUGACGAUGAAGAGAGAACAGAACAUCUGGAACACGGACUGAAGGGAAAUGUGUUUGAUGUGAUAUGUGAUGUCCAAAGGGUCGGAAGAAAAGAUGCAAGCAGAAGAUGCAGCGAUGCA